rnacentral:rRNA from 1 species
CAGCAGCCGCGGUAAUACAGAGGGUGCGAGCGUUAAUCGGAUUUACUGGGCGUAAAGCGUGCGUAGGCGGCUUUUUAAGUCGGAUGUAAAAUCCCUGAGCUUAACUUAGGAAUUGCAUUCGAUACUGGGAAGCUAGAGUAUGGGAGAGGAUGGUAGAAUUCCAGGUGUAGCGGUGAAAUGCGUAGAGAUCUGGAGGAAUACCGAUGGCGAAGGCAGCCAUCUGGCCUAAUACUGACGCUGAGGUACGAAAGCAUGGGGAGCAAACAGGAUUAGAUACCCCAGUAGUCCCUGUCUCUUAUAA